rnacentral:rRNA from 1 species
GAUGAACGCUAGCGGCAGGCUUAACACAUGCAAGUCGAGGGGUAUUUAUCUUCGGUUAGAGCGACCGGCGCACGGGUGCGUAACGCGUAUGCAAUCUACCUUUUACAGAGGGAUAGCCCAGAGAAAUUUGGAUUAAUACCUCAUAGUAUAUAGACUCGGCAUCGAGAUUAUAUUAAAGUCACAACGGUAAAAGAUGAGCAUGCGUCCCAUUAGCUAGUUGGUAAGGUAACGGCUUACCAAGGCUACGAUGGGUAGGGGUCCUGAGAGGGAGAUCCCCCACACUGGUACUGAGACACGGACCAGACUCCUACGGGAGGCAGCAGUGAGGAAUAUUGGACAAUGGGCGCAAGCCUGAUCCAGCCAUGCCGCGUGCAGGAUGACGGUCCUAUGGAUUGUAAACUGCUUUUAUACGAGAAGAAACACUGCUACGUGUAGCAGCUUGACGGUAUCGUAAGAAUAAGGAUCGGCUAACUCCGUG